GGAGAUUGCGCCACUGCACUCCAGCCUGGGCGACAGAGUGAGACUCCGUCUCAAAAAAGAAAAAAAGAAUGAUUUGCUAAUUAUGCAGGCAGCUGAUCCAGUGCUGUGUAACCUUGGGGGCCACCAGAUGCCAAUCAGUAGAAUGGGAGAGAAGGAAGGAUGGAGGAAGUGAGGACAAGGGGCAAGGAGGAAGGUCUGUCCACCUGUCUCUUUUGUGCAGGAGGUGUCCAAGCAGGAGGAGCACGUCACAUCCCCACUGAAAAAGCCCACAGAAAAUGAAAAGCCCACAUGCUUGUCCAUUGCUGCAGGAUGGGGGCAAGUGGAGGGGGAGAGGUGUCGGCGCUCCCACCUUACUCCCAGUCAUGGCUGACUCCUCCCUUUCCUUCGUUCUUGUUCCUAAUCUGUCACCAUGUCCUGUCGUUUUCUUUGUCUCACCCAACCCUCUGUGCCUGCAAAUCCCCUGACUGCAGCCUCAUCCCUGUCACCUCCUGACUGUAGUUGGUGACAGAAGAGGAGGCUGCACCAGUGAAGGAGCAGGGACUCCAGGUCUGGCAACAACCAGGGAUGGGGCCGGGUGGGGGUGACUUGGACCAGGAGAGGGGCCUGAGUCAGGCAGUCACAUGCUUCAUGCUGGGGUCCCCCAAGUGAGGCACAGCCCGGGGUCCCGGGAAGAAGACCAAGCCUCAUUUCAGGUUGCUUGUGGCCAAAGACAGGACCUGUGUACCCAACAACCCCUGGGACUUUUGCAGGAAACAGCAAACACCAUUCGCUCACUCGAGUUAGAUAAACACUGAGCGAAAAGUCACUGGAGCCCAAGGACUGUGCGGGGUCAGUGCUGCCGAUACAAGAACCGCAGCCCUCCAGCUCGGCUCCCUCAACGGCCUGCGCUGCAGCCACACUGGCCUCCUUUCAGGUCUGUCUCUCCUGCCAGAGUGUAUACACCAGUUGGACAAGGACGCUGCCUUAUUCAUCACUGGAUCUAUAGUGAUUUGCUCAGUGCCUUGCACACAGGCACUGUUGGGUAAAUAUUUUCUGGCUGCAGGAAAGAGUGAAGGACUAACCUCCCCAACCCCCCUCCCACCCCCGCCCCUUGCUACCUCGUGGGAGGAAGAGCAUGAAUUGGGAGAGCAGAGCCACCACAGGAAACCAGGAGGCUAGGUGGGGUGGAAGGGAGUGAGCUCUCCGGCUCUCAGGAGCGAAAGCUUCCAAGUUGGGCUCUCCCCUUGGCCCCUUCCACCCAGGAAAGACAGCUGGGUCCGCCAGGACCAAGAAUCCCCAAAGGGGCUGCUCCCAGAGGUUGUGUUGCAGGGACUGGAGAGAGGACUUCCCAGUACAGGGGGUGGCCCUCUGAUCAGGUGGGGGUGGGUGGCAGCAGAGCAUUUGGUAGGAGGUCAGGAGCUCACAGGAGAUGGGAUUCUGCCGAUGCCUGCUGAAUGAAUGAGGGAGGGAGACGGCAGGACCAGGGACUGGGGAAUUGGUACUAAGGUGCUGGGUACCUGCCGGGCACUCUGUCCAUACAUGAUCUCAGUUCAGCUCUCCACCUUGGAAACACAAGAAAGGAGCCGUGGCUGCAGAGAAAAACAGAGGCUGGAAACAGGGGUACAUGGGCAGGGUGGUGGUGGUGAGAGAAUUGCCUGAAUCAGCUGCCAAAUGGUGCCCAGGUUGGAAAAGCAAAUGUGCACACAUGGGUUCUUCCCACUCUAACCCUGAGGAAUUAGAGGCCUGCUUCUGACACAGACUGGGCAGUGGCUAGUGACUCUAGGUAUAGAGUAUCCAGGCCCUGCUCACCCAGGCUAGAGCUUAGGGAGCCAGAAGGAAGGAGGUGCAUGUUGGGGUGCAGGACAGGAGGGAAAAAUACUCGAAUUGCAAGGUGAGGGCACAGUCUAUUUAUAUUGGGUUGAAUUAACUCCUCCCCCUGAUGCCACUAAAGCAGGAAUCACACUGCAGAUGGCACUGAUUUGAUUGGCAAGAGACAUGCCAGGAAGAAUAUUAAGGGACCGGACCCCUAUAAUUAGGCCUAAUCAUAGCCUGUUGUUUGAAAAGGGCAUGAAGGACAUUCAUCAGGCCUGGCACUGUGCCCUAGACCUGCUCUCCUGGGUAGUGGGACCCUCCGUGGCAACAGAGGUGUGGGUGGGCCUGGGUGAGUGUGGCAAGAAAUGCCUCGGAGGCUCUAUUUGGCCUUAAAGUGCUGUGUGACCUUGGAUAAACUGCCCUCUCUGAAUCUCUGGUCCUUUCCAUUUCCCAUUCUCCAGGCUGAGAACUGCACUGUGAUAUAUGGUUAUUCCCAUAAUAAUAAUGUGUGUAUCAUGCAUAAUGCACUGCACCUCUUCACCACGCUGGUGCCCACUCUUCUGCUCCCCCUGCCGGAUUCCUCAGCCCCUUCUACCCUGAUGGUUCUCUCCUUUCCUCCUCAGGCCAGCACUUCCCAUGAUCUGAGAUGUCCGUCCUCCUUCCUCUUCAACUUUUUCUCCAGCAGUGAGUUCCUCCUCCUAACUGAGGCUUCCAGGAAGGAUAUCCUCUGCUUCUCAGACCUGAACCUGCCUUGAAUACUCAUGAGGACCCAGGAGCUACUCCUCACCUCCCACUUCUCUUCCCUCCUGUCAGAUAACCAAGGCACGGCCAACUGAUCUCCAACCAUCUGAGGAACCCAACCGUGUGAGACCACCCACACCUUUCAAGAAUGUUCCUCCCCUCCCCUUCUUUGUAUUUAUACUGAUGCAAAUUUGCUGGCCAUCUUAACUCAGUCCUGUGCCUCAGUUCUCCCACCUGUAAGAUCAGGAGGAGGAUAAAGAUGUAAGACUUUCUG
rnacentral:lncRNA from 1 species